rnacentral:rRNA from 1 species
GAUGAACGCUAGCUAUAGGCUUAACACAUGCAAGUCGAGGGGAAACGGCAUUAUGUGCUUGCACAUUUUGGACGUCGACCGGCGCACGGGUGAGUAUCGCGUAUCCAACCUGCCCUUUACUUGGGGAUACCCCGUUGAAAGACGGCCUAAUACCCGAUGUAAUUCAUUGAUGGCAUCAGAUAUGAAUAAAAGAUUUAUCGGUAAAGGAUGGGGAUGCGUCUGAUUAGCUUGUUGGUGAGGUAAAGGCUCACCAAGGCGACGAUCAGUAGGGGUUCUGAGAGGAAGGUCCCCCACAUUGGAACUGAGACACGGUCCAAACUCCUACGGGAGGCAGCAGUGAGGAAUAUUGGUCAAUGGGCGCAAGCCUGUACCAGCCAAGUAGCGUGCAGGAAGACGGCCCUAUGGGUUGUAAACUGCUUUUAUACGAGAAUAAUUUGAUGCACGUAUGCGUUAUUGCAUGUAUCGUAUGAAUAAGGACCGGCUAAUUCCGUGCCAGCAGCCGCGGUAAUACGGAAGGUCCAGGCGUUAUCCGGAUUUAUUGGGUUUAAAGGGAGUGUAGGCGGUUUGUUAAGCGUGUUGUGAAAUUUAGGUGCUCAACAUUUAACUUGCAGCGCGAACUGUCAGACUUGAGUACACGCAACGUAUGCGGAAUUCAUGGUGUAGCGGUGAAAUGCUUAGAUAUCAUGAAGAACUCCGAUUGCGAAGGCAGCAUACGGGAGUGUAACUGACGCUUAAGCUCGAAGGUGCGGGUAUCGAACAGG